GACGUAGGGCGCGAGCGUUGUCCGGAUUUAUUGGGCGUAAAGAGCUCGUAGGCGACUUGUCGCGUCGUCCGUGAAAACCAGGGGCUCAACCCCUGGCUUGCGGUCGAUACGGGCAGGCUAGAGUUCGGUAGGGGAGACUGGAAUUCCUGGUGUAGCGGUGAAAUGCGCAGAUAUCAGGAGGAACACCGGUGGCGAAGGCGGGUCUCUGGGCCGAUACUGACGCUGAGGAGCGAAAGCGUGGGGAGCGAACAGG
rnacentral:rRNA from 1 species